rnacentral:rRNA from 1 species
UACGUAGGGUGCAAGCGUUGUCCGGAAUUAUUGGGCGUAAAGAGCUCGUAGGCGGUCUGUCGCGUCGGCUGUGAAAACCCGGGGCUUAACUUCGGGCUUGCGGUUGAUACGGGCGGGCUGGAGUUCGGUAGGGGAGACUGGAAUUCCUGGUGUAGCGGUGAAAUGCGCAGAUAUCAGGAGGAACACCGGUGGCGAAGGCGGGUCUCUGGGCCGAUACUGACGCUGAGGAGCGAAAGCGUGGGGAGCGAACAGG